rnacentral:rRNA from 1 species
AUUGAACGCUGGCGGCAGGCCUAACACAUGCAAGUCGAACGAGUGGCGGACGGGUGAGUAAUGUCUGGGAAACUGCCUGAUGGAGGGGGAUAACUACUGGAAACGGUAGCUAAUACCGCAUACCAUCAGAUGUGCCCAGAUGGGAUUAGCUGGUUGGUGGGGUAACUGCUCACCAAGGCGACGAUCCCUAGCUGGUCUGAGAGGAUGACCAGCCAAACUGGAACUGAGACACGGGCAAGACGCCUACGGGAGGCAGCAGUGGGGAAGAGUGCACAAUGGGCGCAAGCCUGAUGCAGCCAUGCGGGGUGUAUGAAGAAGGCCUUCGGGUUGUAAAGUACUUUCAGCGGGGAGGCGUUACCCGCAGAAGAAGCACCGGCUAACGCCGUGCCAGCAGCCGCGGUAAUAC